rnacentral:rRNA from 1 species
AUAAUAAUUUGUCUUUUAAUUGGAGGCUUGAAUGAAGGAUUGAAUGAAGUAUAAACUGUCUCAUAGAAAAUAGAUUUUAAACUUAAUUUUUAAGUAAAAAGGCUUAAAUUUUAUUGUAGGACGAGAAGACCCUAUAGAGUUUUAUAAUUUAAAUUUUUAUUUAUAAUUUUAUAUAAUUAAUUUAAAUUAUUUCAUUGGGGCGAUAGGAAAAUUUAAUAAACUUUUUUAAUUAUAAUAACAUUAAUAAAUGAAUUUUUGAUCCUAAUUUUUAGAUUAUUAGAAAAAAUUACCUUAGGGAUAACAGCGUUAUUUUUUUUAAAAGUUCAUAUUAAUAAAAAAGAUUGC